rnacentral:rRNA from 1 species
AUUGAACGCUGGCGGCAGGCCUAACACAUGCAAGUCGAGCGGAUGACGGGAGCUUGCUCCUGGAUUCAGCGGCGGACGGGUGAGUAAUGCCUAGGAAUCUGCCUGGUAGUGGGGGACAACGUUUCGAAAGGAACGCUAAUACCGCAUACGUCCUACGGGAGAAAGCAGGGGACCUUCGGGCCUUGCGCUAUCAGCUGAGCCUAGGUCGGAUUAGCUAGUUGGUGAGGUAAUGGCUCACCAAGGCGACGAUCCGUAACUGGUCUGAGAGGAUGAUCAGUCACACUGGAACUGAGACACGGUCCAGACUCCUACGGGAGGCAGCAGUGGGGAAUAUUGGACAAUGGGCGAAAGCCUGAUCCAGCCAUGCCGCGUGUGUGAAGAAGGUCUUCGGAUUGUAAAGCACUUUAAGUUGGGAGGAAGGGCAGUAAGCGAAUACCUUGCUGUUUUAACGUUACCGACAGAAUAAGCACCGGCUAACUCUGUGCCAGCAGCCGCAGUAACAC